rfam:Gossypium hirsutum cultivar TM-1 unplaced genomic scaffold scaffold3310.1, whole genome shotgun sequence
AAUUAGAGAAUGACAAAUCAGAUUUUUACUCUUGAUUUUCAACCUUUUCCUCCUGAGAAAAUUUAAAUCCAACUAAAAAUACUAAAAAUCAAGAAGAAAAAUCUAAUUUGUCAUUCUCUCGUU